GUGUCUACACUCGUUUCGGCGAGCCGAGGAUGACGAGAGGAGGAGGAUUGCAAACCCUAGAUCUGCAAUGGCUUCGCCGCUAUUGUAGUCUCCCCUUGUAAUCUACGGCCAGUUGCUCUUCUCUGCCGUUGAUGUUCAGUGCUUUGUGAUUGUUUGUUUGGGAUUGGGUAUUUCUAUUGCGGACGGGUUUUGUUUUGGGCUUGGCGCUUGCAGUCGUCGUAGGAGCUGGUCUGCAGUUUGACUCUAGAAUCUUCUCAAAGGACAAAAAUGUUCUGCACCUCAUAAGCAUAGGCAUCCCGUUUGUUGCAGCUACACAGCCCAUCAAUUUGCUAGCUUUCGUUUUUGACGGGUUGAAAUGCGGUGCGUCCGAUUUCGCAUAUACUGCAUACUCAAUGGGUUUGCAACUGUGACAACGUCAGGACGAUGUCAUGUACUACGGAUGCAGCUUUUCACUUUAUUUGUUAUCUAAGCAGAUGAAAUGUAUUUGAAUUUGAAUAAUGUAUUUGUAUUUAAAUUUAAAUUUGUAUAAAUGAAUAUGAAUUUGAAUUUGAAUAAUAUAUUUGUAUUUAAAUUUGAAUUAGAAUUUUGAAUAAUUUAUGAAUUUUAUUGCAA